rnacentral:lncRNA from 1 species
UCUUCCCACCGCCCGCCAACCCCGAGAUAUACCUCCCUUCUUCCCGAAGCUUCGUCCCCCAGAGACAGACGACAUUACUGGCUCUGCCUCGGCGCGGGUGCCGGUGGUUGCCAGUGGCGGUGGGUGGGUGGCCCGGUGGUGGCGCUGGGAUGCUCGCCGCGACGGCGACCGCCGCCCGCCUCCUCCGCCUGCCGCUGGUCGUAGCGGCCCACCGCGCGCCCGACUCGACCCGGCCCCGCCCCGAUUGCCGCCGCCGCCGCCACUGACGGACGACCGCCCCGCUUGGCGC